rnacentral:rRNA from 1 species
AUACGUAUGGGGCUAGCGUUGUUCGGAUUCACUGGGCGUAAAGGGCGUGUAGGCGGCUAUGCAAGUCGGAUGUGAAAUUUUCAGGCUUAACCUGAAAACUGCAUUCGAAACUGCGUAGCUAGAGUACCGGAGAGGGAGACGGAAUUCCUGGUGUAGGGGUGAAAUCUGUAGAUAUCAGGAAGAACACCGGUGGCGAAGGCGGUCUCCUGGCCGGAUACUGACGCUGAGGCGCGAAAGCUAGGGGAGCAAACAGGAUUAGAAACCCGAGUAGUCC